rnacentral:lncRNA from 1 species
GCCAUUUUCUGAAGCUUGAGAUGCAGGAAAAGAGGAGUGCUAUCCAUUAGAUGGAGACAGGAAGUAGAAAAAGAGCUUAAAGUUUUGGCUUGUGUUACUUCCUUGGGGAGAUCUUGCUGGACCACAUCAGGAAUAGGAGGGGUGUGUCCCCACAGCACUGUGUACACGGAAAUGCAGAUGAUAACUCCUGCCUCCAGACCCCUCUCUGAGAUGAUUCUGAGACACAUAUAAAUGGGCUUUGCAAACUGUGGGCAGUAGAUGUGAGAACUCUUCAUCUUCCAGACAGGAUCCAAGGUCCUUUGGAAGGGACAGUGAGCGGACUGCAUCCUGCUUGCAUGAAGACCCUGAU